GACGAACGCUGGCGGCGUGCUUAACACAUGCAAGUCGAACGGAAAGGCCCUGCUUUUGUGGGGUGCUCGAGUGGCGAACGGGUGAGUAACACGUGAGUAACCUGCCCUUGACUUUGGGAUAACUUCAGGAAACUGGGGCUAAUACCGGAUAGGAGCUCCUGCUGCAUGGUGGGGGUUGGAAAGUUUCGGCGGUUGGGGAUGGACUCGCGGCUUAUCAGCUUGUUGGUGGGGUAGUGGCUUACCAAGGCUUUGACGGGUAGCCGGCCUGAGAGGGUGACCGGCCACAUUGGGACUGAGAUACGGCCCAGACUCCUACGGGAGGCAGCAGGGGGGAAUAUUGCACAAUGGGCGGAAGCCUGAUGCAGCAACGCCGCGUGCGGGAUGACGGCCUUCGGGUUGUAAACCGCUUUCGCCUGGGACGAAGCGUGAGUGACGGUAAUGGGUAAAGAAGCACCGGCUAACUACGUG
rnacentral:rRNA from 1 species